UCCCCAAAAUUCUAGGGCCCUUAACAAUUAUGUUAAAUCUACUCUGCCUGUUCUCUAUAAAUGGAACAAUCAAGCCUAGAUGACAACACAUCUUUUUACAGCAUUCUAUAAUGAAUAUUUGAAGCCCACUGUUGAGAUCAACUACUCAGAAAAAAGACUUCUUUCAAAAUACUACUGCUCAUUGACAAUGCAUCUGGUCACCCAAGAACUCUGAUGGAAUUGUCUCUCAGCCAUAUGAAGCCCUGGCUCCCAUUUCGCCUUCUGCCAUGAAUGCUAGAAAAUAUAUGUGAAGGUAACCUGUCAUUCUCCCUUCACUCCAGGACCAUAUCCCAGGAAAUGACAGACCAACAUAAUGGAAGCAAAUUUAGGCCUUGAAUAUCCUCAUGAAGAAAUGGCUCCCUCCAGCCCAAACCUCUUUUCUCUAAUCUGUCACACAAGAGAAAAAUAAAAU